AAUCUCACCUGGGAGCCACCAAUGAGUUCUCCGGGUGCCUCAUUAUCGCCUGGAUUCCCUCCUCCAGGACCAGAGAGGUGAACAGAGGCAACGGACCCCAGGGGCAUGGGCGCAGUCCCGGGACCCCUUCACCAAGAGGAACCCGGGUGUCUUCUCCCUGCGGCUGCCGCAGGUGACUCAAAACACCAUUCACGCUCAUCACGACUUUGAAAUAAUGCCAGCGGUCGGCGCCAUCGCUAGAUCUUGCUGUUGAAUCUCGUUAUUUAACGCAGUCACAAAAAGAAAGCGCAUAAGGGACCAGAUUACGAGUUUGCUCUUUAUUUUAAUGGCAUUUCAACAAA
rnacentral:lncRNA from 1 species